rnacentral:rRNA from 1 species
AUUUGCGGCCCCAAGUCAGGCGAGACCACCCGCC